UACUUUCAUGAUGAUGACUCAUGUCGGG
rnacentral:sRNA from 1 species